AUACGUAGGGUGCGAGCAUUAAUCGGAAUUACUGGGCGUAAAGCGUGCGCAGGCGGUCUUGCAGGCUGGGUGUGAAAGCCCCGGGCUCAACCUGGGAGGUGCAUUCAGGACUGCGAGGCUGGAGUGCGGCAGAGGGAGGUGGAAUUCCACGUGUAGCAGUGAAAUGCGUAGAGAUGUGGAGGAACACCGAUGGCGAAGGCAGCCUCCUGGGCCGACUCUGACGCUCAUGCACGAAAGCGUGGGGAGCAAACAG
rnacentral:rRNA from 1 species